UUAUAUUUUGCAAAUAUUUUGGGAAACAUUAAUUUUUGUUUCCGUGCUCUCCCGUUCUUCCCUGCGGAGUGCGCUGCGCCGCCCAGCCCUGUCGCCCCCCGGAGGUGAUCCCUCCCUCCUGGGUGCCCGCCACCCUGACCUGUGCCCGGCUCGCG
rnacentral:other from 10 species